GGGCAUAGUUUAGUGGUAGAACUCCAGCUUCCCAAGCUGGUCGUGGGGGUUCGAUUCCCCUUGCCC
rnacentral:tRNA from 1 species